rnacentral:lncRNA from 1 species
GUUACUAAUUUAUCCUUAGUAGUUUUAACUAUAUUCCAAGUUUUAUAUCCUUCAUUGUAAUUUCAUAACAAAAAAAUAUAGAAAGAAUAUAAGAUAAAUACAAUAAAAACAUGAUAUGCUUAGAAAUAUGAAUAAAACAGAUUAUAGAUAGGAACAAAACACAAAUAAUAACAAUAAAACGAUAAUUUGUUUUAAAAAAAAUAAUAAAACGACAAUACUAAUAAAAAAGAUUAUAUAUAAUUUAUGCGUAAAAAUAGGAUCAAAAUAUAACAAUAAAAAAAUUAUAGAGUUUUUUAAAAUAUUUUUUAAAUUUUUUAAGGGGCCG